UACGUAGGGGGCUAGCGUUGUCCGGAAUCAUUGGGCGUAAAGAGCGUGUAGGCGGCUCGGUAAGUCCGCUGUAAAAGUCAAAGGCUCAACCUUUGAAUGUCAGUGGAUACUGCCGGGCUAGAGUCCGGAAGAGGCGAGUGGAACUCCUGGUGUAGCGGUGGAAUGCGCAGAUAUCAGGAAGAACACCCGUGGCGAAGGCGGCUCUCUGGGACGGUACUGACGCUGAGACGCGAAAGCGUGGGGAGCGAACAGG
rnacentral:rRNA from 1 species